GAUGAAGAACGCAGCUAAAUGCGAUAAGUAAUGUGAAUUGCAGAAUUCAGUGAAUCAUCGAAUCUUUGAACGCACAUUGCGCCCGCCAGUAUUCUGGCGGGCAUGCCUGUCUGAGCGUCAUUUCAACCCUCAGCCCCCGCUCGCGGGGCGCUGGCGUUGGGGAUCGGCCGUCCUCGCGGCGGCCGGCCCCGAAACACAGUGGCGGUCUCUCGCGGACUCCCCUGCGUAGUAGCACUACCUCGCAGAAGGGACGAGCGGGCUGACCACGCCGUAAAACCCCCCACUUCUCCAGGUUGACCUCAGAUCAGGUAGGAAUACCCGCUGAACUUAAGCAUAUCAAUAAGCGGAGGA
rnacentral:misc_RNA from 1 species